rnacentral:rRNA from 1 species
AUAUCACUAAGCGGAGGAAUAGAAACUAACAAGGAUUUCCUUAGUAACGGCGAGUGAACAGGAAUAAGCUCACGGUUAUAAUCACAGCUUUCAGUUGUGAAAUGUACCGAGAACAUCCAUCGAAUUUAUCCUAUGAUAAAAGUCUCUUGGAAGUGAGCGUCAUAGAGGGAGAUUGCCCCGUGAAAUCAUAGUAUUGUAAAUUCAUUAAGAUCAUGUUCUGGAGAGUAGUGCUCCUUGGGAAUGGAGUAUGAAUUUGGUGGUAAGAUCCAUCAUAAGCUAAAUAUAUACGAGAGACCGAUAGCGCACAAGUA